GAUGAACGCUGGCGGCGUGCCUAAUACAUGCAAGUCGAGCGAACAGACGAGGAGCUUGCUCCUCUGACGUUAGCGGCGGACGGGCGAGUAACACGUGGAUAACCUACCUAUAUGACUGGGAUAACUACGGGAAACCGGAGCUAAUACCGGAUAAUAUAUUGAACCGCAUGGUUCAAUAGUGAAAGACGGCUUUGCUGUCACUUAUAGAUGGAUCCGCGCCGCAUUAGCUAGUUGGUAAGGUAACGGCUUACCAAGGCAACGAUGCGUAGCCGACCUGAGAGGGUGAUCGGCCACACUGGAACUGAGACACGGUCCAGACUCCUACGGGAGGCAGCAGUAGGGAAUCUUCCGCAAUGGGCGAAAGCCUGACGGAGCAGCACCGCGUGAGUGAUGAAGGUCUUCGGAUCGUAAAACGCUUUUAUUAGGGAAGAACAAAUGUGUAAGAAACUAUGCACGUCUUGACGGUACCUAAUCAAAAAGCCACGGCUAACUACGUG
rnacentral:rRNA from 1 species